AUUUUCCACACUAAAUCUAUGGUCAUCAGGACAGUCCUCUUUAACCUUUAGAUGGAGAGGAAGAGGAACCAGAGGAACAUGGAAAUCUUUCAGAAAUAUGCCAUACCCCCAGGGAAAAUUGAGCUUAAUUCUGGACCUCAAGUGAAGCAAAACAAUUCCUAGUAUAAAAAAACUUCAAGAUGGAGUCCAUGGCAUCCAUUAUUGUGGCUAUUCAUCAGCAUAUCUCAGGGACAGAUAUUAUCAUGUGCCAAAUAUUCCACAGUGUUCCCAGUUCCUGAGAUUUUUGUUGUCUUUGGGAAGCACUACCAAUUCUGAGGUCUACUGUUUGGGUUUAGCCAGGCACCAACAUUGUUCUCCAAGAUACAAGUAAGUCUUACAUCUUAUAUGAGGAAACUGGAUGACUCUACUUGAAAACAAUCACUGUUUAGUUUAGUAGUGGCUAAC